UACUCGAGUGGCGAACGGGUGAGUAACACGUGGGUGAUCUGCCCUGCACUUCGGGAUAAGCUUGGGAAACUGGGUCUAAUACCGGAUAGGAGCCAUCUUUAGUGUGGUGGUUGGAAAGUUUUUUCGGUGUAGGAUGAGCUCGCGGCCUAUCAGCUUGUUGGUGGGGUAAUGGCCUACCAAGGCGGCGACGGGUAGCCGGCCUGAGAGGGUGUACGGCCACAUUGGGACUGAGAUACGGCCCAGACUCCUACGGGAGGCAGCAGUGGGGAAUAUUGCACAAUGGGCGCAAGCCUGAUGCAGCGACGCCGCGUGGGGGAUGAAGGCCCUCGGGUUGUAAACUCCUUUCGCUAGGGACGAAGCUUUGUUGUGACGGUACCUAGAUAAGAAGCACCGGCUAACUACGUGCCAGCAGCCGCGGUAAUACGUAGGGUGCGAGCGUUGUCCGGAAUUACUGGGCGUAAAGGGCUCGUAGGUGGUUUGUCGCGUCGUCUGUGAAAUUCUGGGGCUUAACUCCGGGCGUGCAGGCGAUACGGGCAUAACUUGAGUGCUGUAGGGGUAACUGGAAUUCCUGGUGUAGCGGUGAAAUACGCAGAUAUCAGGAGGAACACCGAUGGCGAAGGCAGGUUACUGG
rnacentral:rRNA from 1 species